UGUCCGAUUGAACGCGAAAAUUUUUAAGUGAGAGCCUCUCAAAUUCUCUAUAAGUUGCAUGAUUUUGUGCAGAACAACUUUAUCAGCGAUCCAGAGGGAGAUAGUGCCGGUAGUGGCGAACGUAUACUAUUUGGACCUUUUUAAUAAAAUAACCGUCAUCCUUUUCAUCUACCAUGAGAAAGACAAAAGUAGAAAGCAAACAGCAGCAUAAACCAACGAAUAUGUGUCAUCCUCAGCCGGACAAAUGCCAAUUUGAAUAACAUUCCCAAGAAAGCUUCGGGUGUUGAAAACCAGGUGCGACUUAUUUGCAAAGAGCUUCGAAGCUUCCGUGAAAAGGUCACCGUAUACCACCCGGAAUAUGUGGAGUUCGCUGUAGAGGAUAAAAUUGUUUUUCUUCAGCAAGGAAGACAAAAGUAGUGAUGAUUACGAACUGUAGGUAAAAUAUUAUCAAAGCAAGUGUCGGUUGAUAACAACUAGAAGUGGAAUCUAAAUUCGCCUACAGUAUGAUAUAGAAAGAAGCCAAUGCAAUUAAAAGAAUGUUGAUCUGCGUCCAGUGUAUUUAACAAUCACAAGGAAGCUUAGUGAUUAAUACAUAACUCGAACACUUGUGAAGUAUGCCAGUAUUAUAAAAGCCAGCCAGUACCAGCAGUAAAACUCGACUAUUCUAUUUUCUAUUUUAGGAAAUUUCGCUGAAUCACGUACAAAUCUACGCUCACAGAGGUGUCUAGCUAAAAAGCAAACAUUUAAUUCGUAUCUAUUAUCACUUAUAAAGAUACCUUCCGUGCCACCGCUAAUGACUAAUUUAUUUUAUUGAUUCUUGUCGAAGGUGUGCAGACCCACAAUCUACAACGUCACUCAAGGCCGAAGCAACAGGUCUGGAUGUGCAUUAUAAAUAAGAAACGAAUCACGUGAGUAAUUCAGUAAGGUAUGGGAACCUGAAUGCGAAUCUACAAGAGCCAUUCAACGACAGCGUAGUAAUUUCAAACCCGGAUCAAAUAAAGAAAUACAACUGUCCACCGUCCAUACCAUAUUAGGCUCUGUGAGACUUUGAAGAACUUUUAAUGAAAUUGUAGCUCAGGUAAUGAAAACGUACUGUCGGUGCCGUGUAGUUCAGACCAAAGUUUAUUCAAAGAAAUGUACUUAUUAUAUGUUAAAGAAUUUAUGGUAGAAUGAAGCGCGUGGCGCCACAAUUCCAUGGUAAAUUUUAAUUUCUUUCACCAUCGGAAGAAGGAAGGGAGUAAAUACAAGUUUAAUAUUC